UCUCCACCGAUACAAUUUGUAAGCAUGAGGGUCCAAUUUCUAGUUAAUGAAUUGCGUUCAUUUAAGAUCAGAAACCCGCUCGAGAACCUGUUUGAGCCUAGUUUCAAACUCAUUGCGUUCUUAAUAUUCAUGCAAUUCGCACUUAAAUCCAUUCAAGGACAAGAAUGAACAAAAUGUUUCCCAACUUUUGCCCAAUUUGACUCCCGUGAACGAGUCUUAUGUUCCACCAAAGAGGCCAAAGCUGCAAAGAAAAUCCAGCAUCUUUGAACUGAAGUGGUCUAUUACAAGCUCGAGCUGCAAUUAAAAAAGCAACAAAAAUCAAACACAAGAUAUAGACUAUGUUCCAGUUGGACCAAUGUAUAACAAUGCCAAUGCAUUUCACAGGUACACAAGCACUCGUUGUUAGUAUGUUUAUAUCUUUCCAUUUCAUAGGUAUGUUAAAGCUUGAAUUAAGAAUUUCAUUUAAUAAUAUCAAAGUGAUAUUCAAAGUUUUGAGACAGAGCUUUCAGAGCUAGAGAUCACCUCCAAGGAAGGUGGUCCUGAAACAUUUUGUGGAAUUUUUAUUCGCACACCUGCAAUUCUUGAAGCAGGGCCAGAAGUUCAAGUGCUGGCUGAUUAUCUUAUACUUCUAACAGAUUGUUGAAUUCUGAUUCCUACGGUUAGUUAUUAA